ACGGUGCCGAGCGCGCGGCAGAGCUCAUUUCGUGAAGCUUCAUUGAUACACGCGUAGGCACAGCACGCGCGCAUAUACGCCAAGACAGCUAGCGGCGCACAGACACACACACGUACACUGACGGACGCGUACGCACCCUCUCCAAGGUGGCACCCACACGCUACCCGGUCAGCACACCACCACACCCAGAACUCCUCGCCACGAAACGAGUUCAUCUUUCUUUGCUUCUCUCGGACACAAGCGCGUCAAUGGAAAUUUCGUCCUCAUCUCUCAAGUCCUUCAUAGAGCCGCUCAUAGACCUCAUUCAUGGAGACUUGGUGCUGGAGGACAUCUGCUGCCAACGCGUCGCAGGUGCGUUCGUUGAGCAUCAUGAGGCGGCGCUGCGCCGCGUAGUUACCAGCCACACGCUCCCUAGCGGGCUUGAAAAAGCGAUAGAGUCGUACUGUGUGCGCAGUUACCUGCUCAACGCGCCUGAGCUCCUCACGGAGUCGCGCGAGGUGGCGCAGAUGCUACAACGGCUCGCCGACACCCUCUUUGAAGCCGCCAGAGCCCCGAAUGGAGAGCAGCAGAGCGGGAGGCACGACAUAGACAGCGUGUGCAUCGAGGAUGAAGGUGCGCGGUCGCCGUUGGCAGGUGUCGCCGAGGUGAAAGCUGGCUCCGCCGCUUAUCUGCUUGCUACGUCGGCAGAAAUGAUCAAGGAGGAUGUUGCAGCCUUGCAGACGCGGCUGGAAACGCAGCGCUGCGCACGCCUUAUCGACUCCCUCGGAGAGGUCGUCCUGGGGCACAUCAUGUACGCCGCCCAGCAGUGUGCGCAGCAAGCACAGGAGUACCUUGACGGCGCAUCCUGGCACUGCACUCGGGUGGCACACGCUUCCUACCACGCAGCACUGCACCAAUUCGUGAAGUCCGCCGUCGAGCACCGCGAAGCGCGCAAGCGAGAGCGGGACGCGGUGCAGGAAGCGGAGGUGCAAGCUCUUCUGUUCGGCAGCGACCACGCCAUGGUGGAGCCAGCGACACGCGACGAAGGUAGAUACGAGGUGGUGGAGGAUGACCUCGUCGCGGUCCGGGAGUCGGCCCAGCAUCAUGCCCCUCCAGCCCCACCUGAGUCACCUGACACUGACUUUGCAACACAGGUGCAGGCCGCCAUGGAGAGCAUGCCCUCCUCUCCACAGCCACCUCCACAGCCCCUGUUGAAACGCCCUAUCCCGCAGACCACGAGCACUAGCAGGGGGCGUGUGCUGCACUCCGUGAACGACUCCGUCGCAGAGCAGUGUGAAGCGUUGGUACACAUGACGCCACCUGCGACUCUGCAAGAUCAGCAGCAGCAGCAGUCAACACUGGUGCAGUCCUCUGCACCGCACUCAAGCACACUCGCGGCGGCGGAAGGGCGGACAAGUGCGCCGGUCGAACCCGCCCUGAGUCCAGAGAUCGUUGUUGACCCCUUCUCGCUUGCGGCGGCCUCGAGCUCCCUCGUCACCUCCUCUGAAACAGAAGCGCCGCAGGAAAACGACAACGCAGCUCGGCCGCCUCACCGGAAGCUGCGCAAGGCGGACACCGUUUUCAUUGGCGCCUCGGAGACGAGUGUCCUGCGCAUGAUGGAGCACGCAAACGACGACGACGGCAGUGAGAGCUGUCAUCUGUUGUCGACACCGACGUCCGCCUCCGCCUCCAUGCCGUCCUCCACGCUUCCGAUCGGCGCGCAGCGACCGCACGACAGCGGCGGUACGACGGGCGGCACCGUCCCCUCCGCCACCUCGUCAAGCGUAGCCGCUGUAGAUGCCUGGGAAGGGGUGCGGCGAUGUCUGCAGAGGCAAGAUGCCGAGCCCCGCUCCUACUUCCUAUGCGGUGCGACACAUCGCUUUGAGCCGUGUGUAGCGAGAGGCUUCUUUUGAAGGGGCUGGCUCGUGCAGGCGGGAGAGAAGGCCGGGGCACACGCCAAUGCGACCGCAGAACAACGCGCACGCACGUCCACUGACAGAGCGACCCAGACUUGACUUGAUGAAACGUCGUCCCUGUCAGCCGACACCAACGUAGAUGUUCUUCAGCUGUGUUUUACAUUGCUUGGAUGAGGUG
rnacentral:misc_RNA from 1 species